rnacentral:rRNA from 1 species
CCUACGGGUGGCAGCAGUAGGGAAUCUUUCACAAUGGGCGAAAGCCUGAUGGAGCAACGCCGCGUGCAGGAUGAAGGCCUUCGGGUUGUAAACUGCUUUUAUAAGCGAGAAAUAUGAUGGUAACUUAUGAAUAAGGAUCGGCUAACUACGUGCCAGCAGCCGCGGUCAUACGUAGGAUCCGAGCGUUAUCCGGAUUUAUUGGGUUUAAAGGGAGCGUAGGCGGGUUGUUAAGUCAGUUGUGAAAGUUUGCGGCUCAACCGUAAAAUUGCAGUUGAUACUGGCAUCCUUGAGUACAGUAGAGGUAGGCGGAAUUCGUGGUGUAGCGGUGAAAUGCUUAGAUAUCACGAAGAACUCCGAUUGCGUAGGCAGCCUGCUGGACUGUAACUGACGCUGAUGCUCGAAAGUGUGGGUAUCAAACAGGAUUAGAUACCCCAGUAGUC